GAUGAACACUGGCGGCGUGCCUAAUACAUGCAAGUCGAACGCGCAGCGAAAGGUGCUUGCACCUUUCAAGCGAGUGGCGAACGGGUGAGUAACACGUGGAUAACCUGCCUCAAGGCUGGGGAUAACAUUUGGAAACAGAUGCUAAUACCGAAUAAAACUUAGUAUCGCAUGAUACAAAGUUGAAAGGCGCUACGGCGUCACCUAGAGAUGGGUCCGCGGUGCAUUAGUUAGUUGGUGGGUAAGGCCUACCAAGACAAUGAUGCAUAGCCGAGUUGAGAGACUGAUCGGCCACAUUGGGACUGAGACACGGCCCAAACUCCUACGGGAGGCUGCAGUAGGGAAUCUUCCACAAUGGGCGAAAGCCUGAUGGAGCAACGCCGCGUGUGUGAUGAAGGCUUUAGGGUCGUAAAGCAACUGUUGUAUGGGAAGAAAUGCUAGAAUAGGGAAUGAUUCUAAGUUCGACGGUACCAUACCAGAAAAGGACGGACUAAAUACGU
rnacentral:rRNA from 1 species